UCAUAUACCUCAGAGGAACUCUUACAUCACCAAAAGCCUCUAACAAACAGUGGGAGUAAUUUGUCUAUUGGUGGGAGGAAACUACAACGAGACUCCAUGAGUCUCGAGUGCGGAGUCUGAAGGACUCCCAGGAAAAAUUAAAGACUCAAGUGCAGGAUUUAAAAACGAAAUGUAAAGCAUCCGGAUGCCUCCCGACCCAAACCACUUCAUCAACCCCCUCGGCUCCUGUAUAUCCCCAAUUAGUUAAGGCUGAAAGGGAGGAGGAAAAAGGAACGGGUUAAUUUGAAAAUGCAGCUUGGCCUAGAGAUAAAGAGAAAGCUGCUCUGCGUUCAAGGUCAAGAAUCAAUACAGUCUGCCUCGCUCUGCAUGCCAAGCACCAAAAAAAACCCCCCAGCUGGUUGUGAAAAAUAUAGACAGAGACAAAACAAAGGCAACACAAGUUACAGGACUGAGAUUACAUUUGCAAAGGUUGGCCGCCCAGUGAGACCCAACAUCUGCCUUUGUGACCCUGGAGCCGGUGUGGUUUGGGAAUGCUGAAGAAGCCACAGGCAGCCAGCCCGGACUGGAAUACUGAGCAAAGGUCUCUGAAAGGGACACCCCAAGAGACCCCAGGGUAAAAAACCCAAGAGUGGAAGCAAGUUGGAGAUUUUUUUUUUUUUUUUUUUUUGCAGCAUUCCUCUGGACAACUUGUGCACAGGAUAACCUCCCAUCCACCUCUCUCUCUCUCCUACCCCCAGGCCUGGCCAGCCCGGGCAGUGUGUUUAAAUUCAACCCUUGCCUAUCCUGAUUUUCCUGGAAGACUCGAUGGACUGCUGGAGAAAGAGUUGUCUCAUGAGAUCACCGGAGACUGGAAUCAGAGCAGUUGAGAGGAGAAGGGGUGUUUGGGUAUAAACUGGUCACUAUCUGGGGUCAGGAAGAAACCUUCCUCCAUGAUGCAGACCUUCAUCUAAAGCACCUGGUAAUGGCCACUGUUGUAGACAGGAUAGUGGACUCUAUGGACCACAGAGACCUGUGAUGGUGAAGAGUUCCAGAAAUAUUUGACACCAAAAAAUAUCAGAAUAAGAAAAAGCGCCAGUAUGCAGAAGAGCAAUCCACAGAUCUUGUAUCUUUUGCGAAUCUUCUUUCUUGUCUUAGAUGCUUCUGCCUAAUUAAUUACAAAACAGCAAUAUCCAGUGGUCUGCUUAUCAUUCCAAGGAGUGCUGAAUACACAUACAUAUCAGACAGCUAUUACGCUCUAGGUAAUAAAUAUUACAUGGGAAAUUCUGCAAUGGUAAAGAAAAUCAUUAACUUACAUCUAAAAAGUGACAGACCUCGGGGCUCUCCUGAGAAUUCUUUUCCAUGGUCUCUAAGUAAAAUUUCCUUCUCUCUCUGUGUGUAGAGAGGUCGGAGAAACCACUGCUGAGGUGGAGUUAUAAAUGAUCAGAACUGCACAUGCCAGUGAGGAGAAACUCUGUACUACAAUGAUUCCAAUAUG